UUCCCCGUGUUUGGGAGCAGCAGCCAGCAGGCUGCCGGAGAUCCAACCGCAUCUUGCAGCGCGCAGAGGGACGCGAUGGGAACAGAGCGUCCUUACUGCCACGCAAAAGGACGGAGCCUGCGCGUCUGUGGAAUGGUGCUGGGCAAGGGGGAAAGCGGAAAGCCUCCGCAGAAGCUGAUGCCAGUGACCUUCCUCUGAAGCGCAGCCUUGCAGAAAGGCAGGGGGAAGCUACAGACCAUGACAUGGCAACCACGAGAGGUACAGACGCACAACAGGCAUCUGG